UACGUAGGGUGCGAGCGUUGUCCGGAAUUAUUGGGCGUAAAGAGCUCGUAGGCGGUGUGUCGCGUCGGCCGUGAAAACCUGGGGCUCAACUCUGGGCGUGCGGUCGAUACGGGCAUCACUAGAGUUCGGCAGGGGAGACUGGAAUUCCUGGUGUAGCGGUGAAAUGCGCAGAUAUCAGGAGGAACACCGGUGGCGAAGGCGGGUCUCUGGGCCGAUACUGACGCUGAGGAGCGAAAGCAUGGGUAGCAAACAGG
rnacentral:rRNA from 1 species